rnacentral:rRNA from 1 species
UUCCGGUUGAUCCUGCCGGAGGUCACUGCUAUUGGGAUUCGACUAAGCCAUGCGAGUCGAGAGGGUUCGGCCCUCGGCAGACGGCUCAGUAAUACGUGGAUAAUCUGCCCUUAGGUGGAAGAUAAUCUCGGGAAACUGAGAAUAAUAUUCCAUAGAUCUAAGUUGCUGGAAUGCACUUAGAUUUAAAGCUUCGGCGCCUAAGGAUGAGUCUGCGGACUAUCAGGUAGUAGUCAGGGUAAAGGCCUGACUAGCCUAUGACGGAUACGGGUUGUGAGAGCAAUAACCCGGAGACGAUAUCUGAGACACGAUAUCGGGCCCUACGGGGCGCAGCAGGCGCGAAAACUUCACAAUGUGCGAAAGCACGAUGAGGGAAUCCCAAGUGCUUGCUCGUAAGAGUAAGCUGUUUUUAUGUCUAAAAUGCAUAGAGAGUAAGGGCUGGGUAAGACGGGUGCCAGCCGCCGCGGUAAUACCUGCAGCUCAAGUGGUGACCGCUAUUAUUGGGCCUAAAACGUUCGUAGCCGGUUUAUUAAAUGCCUGGGUAAAUCGUGUAGCUUAACUAUACGAAUUCCGGGUAGACUGAUAGACUUGAGACCGGGAGAAGCUAGAGGUACUCCUGGGGUAGAGGUGAAAUUCUGUAAUCCUGGGGGGACCACCAGUGGCGAAGGCGUCUAGCUAGAACGGGUCUGACGGUGAGGAACGAAGCCCUGGGGCGCAAACCGGAUUAGAUACCCGGGUAGUCCAGGGUGUAAACGCUGCUUGCUUGAUGUUAGUUGGGCUCCGAGCCCAAUUAGUGUCGGAGAGAAGUUGUUAAGCAAGCUGCCUGGGAAGUACGAUCGCAAGAUUGAAACUUAAAGGAAUUGGCGGGGGAGCACAGCAACGGGUGGAGCGUGCGGUUUAAUUGGAUUCAACGCCGGAA